GCAUUGGUGGUUCAGUGGUAGAAUCCUCGCCUGCCACGCGGGGGGCCCGGGUUCGAUUCUCGGCCAAUGCA
rfam:Ciona savignyi cont_40264, whole genome shotgun sequence.